GACGAACGCUGGCGGCGUGCUUAACACAUGCAAGUCGAACGGUGAUGCUCCAGCUUGCUGGAGUGGAUCAGUGGCGAACGGGUGAGUAACACGUGAGCAACCUGCCCCAGACUCUGGAAUAAGCGCUGGAAACGGCGUCUAAUACUGGAUACGAAACUGGCCCGCAUGGGCAUGGUUUGGAAAGUUUUUCGGUUUGGGAUGGGCUCGCGGCCUAUCAGCUUGUUGGUGAGGUAAUGGCUCACCAAGGCGACGACGGGUAGCCGGCCUGAGAGGGCGACCGGCCACACUGGGACUGAGACACGGCCCAGACUCCUACGGGAGGCAGCAGUGGGGAAUAUUGCACAAUGGGCGAAAGCCUGAUGCAGCGACGCCGCGUGAGGGAUGACGGCCUUCGGGUUGUAAACCUCUUUCAGCAGGGAAGAAGCGAAAGUGACGGUACCUUCAGAAGAAGCACCGGCUAACUACGUG
rnacentral:rRNA from 1 species